GUACCCCAGUGAAUUUGUAGUGACGAUAAUUCUAAGGCUCCAUGGACUAUGCCCCAUCUGAAGAACUCGAACUCGAAAUCGAACUCAAAUUAAAUUCAAAGCAACGAAUUCAUCCUGAAAAUAUCAAGAACAUCAUUAAAAAAACAUUCGAUCAACAAACACUCAUUUUAAUCUCAGCUCGACUUGAAUCCAUUAAAGAUAAUUGUUUUCUGAAGUACAUAUCUUGGUCAGUUCGCAAUAAAA